UGUAGCUCAGUCAGUAGAGCAUGAGGCUGCACCUCUGUCUCGAGGUUGUGGGUUUGAGCCCCACAUUGGGGAAAAG